UACGUAGGGCGCAAGCGUUGUCCGGAAUUAUUGGGCGUAAAGAGCUCGUAGGCGGUUUGUCGCGUCUGCUGUGAAAACCUGAGGCUCAACCUCGGGCUUGCAGUGGGUACGGGCAGACUAGAGUGCGGUAGGGGAGACUGGAAUUCCUGGUGUAGCGGUGAAAUGCGCAGAUAUCAGGAGGAACACCGAUGGCGAAGGCAGGUCUCUGGGCCAUAACUGACGCUGAGAAGCGAAAGCAUGGGGAGCGAACAGG
rnacentral:rRNA from 1 species